GGAAGGCUGAGGCAGAGAGACACUGCCAGCUGCCGCCAUGACAAGAGAGAUGUAAGAAGAUCUACCCAUUGAGAAAAUGACUGCCUUCCUCUCUAUCAACCACUAACAGUCCACUAGUUAUUCAGUGAGAGAUUCAGGCUUGUGGACACCUCCAGUAUCUAUGCUGGAACAUAGGAGGAGUUUAACCAGGACCAUCUGUGUGAGUUUUGUAUCAAACUACCCACUGGAAUCCGGCAAACUCAGCAGUGUUUACACAACCGAAGAAAAUGACCCUACCUCUUCCACAGUGAGUCAACAACCAAUUGUUCAGCAGGCUUCAGACCUGGU